CCUACGUUUGGCAGCAGUAGGGAAUCUUCCGCAAUGGACGAAAGUCUGACGGAGCAACGCCUCGUGAGCUAAGAAUGUCUUCUUAUCUUAAAUCUCUUUUUUUAUUUAAUAACAAUUACUUUAUUAAAUUACCUUACCUUGACGGUACCUUACUAGGAAGCCACGGCUAACUACUGGCCAUCCGCCGCGGUAAUACUUAGGUUGCAAGCGUUGUCCGGAAUUAGUUGGCGUAAAUGGCGCGAAGGCGGUCUUUUAAGACUGAAGUGAAAUCUUUCGGAUAAACCGAAAGCGGUCAUUGGGAAAUGGGAGAAUUGAGAGCAGAAAGGGAAAGAGGAAUUAAAAGUGUAGAGGUGAAAUGAGUAGAGAUGUGGAGGAAAACAAGUGGAGAAGGAGGGUUUAUGGUAUGUAAAUGAAGCUGAGGAGCGAAAGAGUGGGGAGCAAAAAGGAUUAGAUAACAUAGUAGUC
rnacentral:rRNA from 1 species